rnacentral:RNase_P_RNA from 1 species
UGGAACGGUGCGGUAAGAGCGCACCGGCGGUCAGGUGACUGGCCGGCCAGGUAAACCCCACCCGGAGCAAGACCGAAUAGGGAGGCAAUGGAGUUGCCCGCUCCGCCUCCGGGUAGGUUGCUGGAGGCACCGGGUAACCGGUGUCCAAGACAGAUGAUCACCACCUUCGGAAGCGAAGGCACAGAACCCGGCUUAUAGGACUGCUUGCUGA